rnacentral:rRNA from 1 species
AGCAGGGUAGCAAUACCGCUGACGACCGGCGCACGGGUGAGUAACACGUAUCCAACCUUCCCAUAACUCGGGGAUAGCCUUUCGAAAGAAAGAUUAAUACCCGAUAGUACUUUAUUAAGGCAUCUUAAGAAAGUUAAAGAUUUAUUGGUUAUGGAUGGGGAUGCGUUCCAUUAGAUAGUUGGUGAGGUAACGGCUCACCAAGUCUUCGAUGGAUAGGGGUUCUGAGAGGAAGGUCCCCCACAUUGGUACUGAGACACGGACCAAACUCCUACGGGAGGCAGCAGUGAGGAAUAUUGGUCAAUGGGCGAGAGCCUGAA